AGGGUUCGAUUCUGGCUCAGGAUGAACGCUGGCGGCGUGCUUAACACAUGCAAGUCGAACGAAGCACUGGAAGCAGAUCUUUCGGAGAGAAGCAUCCUUUGACUUAGUGGCGGACGGGUGAGUAACGCGUGGGCAACCUGCCUUUUUACCGGGGGACAACAGUUGGAAACGACUGCUAAUACCGCAUAAGCGCACGGCACCGCAUGGUGCAGUGUGAAAAAACUCCGGUGGUAAAAGAUGGGCCCGCGUUGGAUUAGGUAGUUGGUGAGGUAACGGCCCACCAAGCCGACGAUCCAUAGCCGACCUGAGAGGGUGACCGGCCACAUUGGGACUGAGACACGGCCCAAACCCCUACGGGAGGCAGCAGUGGGGAAUAUUGCACAAUGGGGGAAACCCUGAUGCCAGCGACGCCGCGUGAGUGAAGAAGUAUUUCGGUAUGUAAAGCUCUGUCAGCAGGGAAGAAAAUGACGGUACCUGCACAAGAAGCCCCGGCUAACUACGUGCCAGCCGCGGC
rnacentral:rRNA from 1 species